rnacentral:rRNA from 1 species
CACGUAGGGGGCGAGCGUUGUCCGGAUUCAUUGGGCGUAAAGAGCUCGUAGGCGGCUCAGUAAGUCGGGUGUGAAACCCUCAGGCUCAACCUGGGGACGCCACUCGAUACUGCUGUGGCUAGAGUCCAGUAGGGGAGUGUGGAAUUCCCGGUGUAGCGGUGAAAUGCGCAGAUAUCCGGAGGAACACCGGUGGCGAAGGCGGCUUCCUGGACCGACACUGACGCUGAGGCGCGAAAGCUAGGGGAGCAAACGGG